rnacentral:sRNA from 1 species
UCAGUGUUGCCCCCAUGGACUGAAUUGCUUUGUAGAAUUUCCUAUGAACCUGAAUCCAUCAAAGCACUCAAGUGGCAUCACUGUCCAUGCCUGAAUUCAGCAAUCUCAACACACAAAAGGAAAGGUGUUCAAAUUUUGUCUUGACAUUCUGACCUGCUUGUAAUCGAAAUCUGUAACUCGCCUCUCCUUCAGCAAAACACCAGCCAAGAACACCAGUGCAGAAGGGAUGCUUAGUAAUCCAAGAGCACCCUUAGAACAAGAAAAGAAAAAAAAAGCAAGAAUCACAAUCAUAUCAAUUGACAUUGUGUGAGAAAACAAAUGAUGAUGCAAAUCAUUAUCUAAGGUCAGGGAAUAUCACACCUGAGACCCCAUGGAGUGGACAAGAAGACCACUGAUGGAGAAUCCAAGCAAUGCCCCAACGGAGGAGCUGAACCCACACAGGCUCUGCAUGUCUGCGGCUAGCGGCUGGUGCGUGAUGCUGUUCUGAGCAACCAGCGCGUCCACCGUCACGUCGGCCACCGCCGCGCCCGCGCUCUGCGCCGUCAGCGCCAAGAUCGCCGGCAUGAUGCCCAGCUUGCGGUGGAGAGAGAGCGUGAGCAUGGACGACGCCCCAAUCACUCCUGAAUGAAUCACCGAGAGAAGUGAUCAAGUAAGGCGAAAGCCUUCGAACUGCGAGAUGGGAUCGAGGAGGCGGAGGAGGCUGCAAUCCCCUCACCGGCGAGGAGGAAGUACGGGCGGCGGCGGUAGCCGGCGACGGGGACGACGUCGGUGAGUAGACCCCAGAUGGGCUUGACGACCCAGGGGGCGCUGACGAACCCCUGGUAGAACUGCGCCGCCGACGGCUGCACGCGCUGCACGUCCUUCCAGUAGUACCCCGCCGCGACGCCGCCGACGGCGUCGCCGACACCCUGGCAGGCCCCGUAGACGGCCACGACGGCGAGCACGAAGCUCCAGUGCAGCUCGCGGGACAGACGCCGGAGCCAGCCGCCGGGGAAGGAGGCGCCGCCGCCGGCUUCUCGAAGCGCCGCGUCGUCGUCCUCCUCCUCUUGGCGAUCCAUCUGGGCAGCGAUUUCUUGCCGGGGGUUUCUUGGGGAUCUACGGCGGAAGCCCGCCGGAAUUCGCACGGCUAGAAUGCAGGUCUCGCGAUUGAUCGGUGGGAGAGAUUGACGAGGCGCAUCUUGGCGUUGGCGAGCUGAGCAAGAGCAAGUGUGCGUUGAUGGGUAUCCGCGCUCAAGGUUUUGACUUGACACCCCCCACCUUGCAACUAUUAUAGUACUGUAUACUCCUACUAAUUUAACCAUGGUAAUUUUGCACCAUUAAUCUAUGUACUAGUAGUAGAAAACUGGGCAACAUGUCAACACUAAUUUUGACUUUGUGCCUUUUACUAUUGCGCAUCAUCUCUUUGCACUGCGUUAUUACUGUGUAGCUACUUACGACCUAAUCAAGGCCUGAUAGGAAUUAAUAAGUGAAUAUGAAAUAAGUUCACUUUCGACAUUU